AAUGAACGCUAGCGGUAGGCCUAACACAUGCAAGUUGAACGCAUACUUUUACAGUAUAAGUAGCAAACGGGUGAGUAACGCGUGAGAAAUCUACCUUACAAUCUGGGAUAAAAUCCCGGAUUCUUUCUAAACUAGAUGUUCCGACAAAUAGUAUAGAAUAAAAGAUUAAAUGUCGUUGUAAGAUGUGCUCGCGUAGGAUUAGGUAGUUGGUGAGUUAAAAGCUACACCAAGCCGAAGAUCCUUAGCUGGUCUGAGAGGAUGAUCAGCCACACUGGGACUGAGACACGGCCCAGACGCUUUCGAGCGGCAGCAGUGAGGAAUUUUGGACAAUGGGCGAAAGCCUGAUCGAGCCAUAUCGCAUGAGUGAAGAAGGCUAAAUUGGUUGUAAAGCUCUGAUUUGAUUGAAGAUUAUGACAUAAGAUAAAAGAAUAGUCCCGGCUAACUUCGUG
rnacentral:rRNA from 1 species